CAAUAGCGUAUAUUAAUGUUGUUGCAGUUAAAAAGCUCGUAGUUGGAUUUGUGGUUGGAGUGGUCGGUCCGACACAGUGUGUGGGUGCUUGACUACUCCGUCCAUCUUUGGUUUGAAUCUUCGUGGCAUUAAGUUGUCGUGGAGGGGAGGGCCAUCAUUUACUGUGAAAAAUCAGAGUGUUCAAAGCAGGCUUAUGCCGUUGAAUAUAUUAGCAUGGAAUAAUGAGAUAGGACCUCGGUACUAUUUUGUUGGUUUGCGCACCGAGGUAAUGAUUAAUAGGGACAGUUGGGGGUAUUCGUAUUCCAUUGUCAGAGGUGAAAUUCUUGGAUUUCUGGAAGACGAACUACUGCGAAAGCAUUUACCAAGGAUGUUUUCAUUAAUCAAGAACGAAAGUUAGGGGAUCGAAGAUGAUCAGAUACCAU
rnacentral:rRNA from 1 species